rnacentral:lncRNA from 1 species
AAUGACUACAAACAAGAGAUUCCUCUAAAAGUUAUAAUAAUUGUAACCGUUGGAUUCAACGGCCCUCAUGCGCUGGUCAGCAGACUCCUGAGCUUGUGCUUAGGAGAGGAUCCAAUUCCUACAUUGUGGGAGAAUUCUAUUUUGCCCCCGCAAUUUGUGGUACCCACCCCCCCAACUUUUUUUCUUCUUCAAGUGUCACAACCCGUCCAAAAAAAUUCGGUUAUCGUGGGUGUGAAAUGACAGAAUUGCCCUUAGCGGUUGCUAAGGUAUGUGUGACAUAUUAUUUGAAUAGUGCAUACUUUUCUAAGUUUUGGAAAUUUAAUUGGAUUAAAAUUGUAUGCAUUAUUUUUAUGUGGUUAGGGACUUAGGUGGACCAUAUACCCUCACCAUCAGACUCCUCUCUUUUUCCUAUCCCGUGCUCUUUCUCUUCCCUCUCAGUUUCUCUCUCUCUUUCUCUCUCUCUCGAACCGUACGGACAAGAACCCAAAAUCCCUCAAAACAUCACGGAUCGACGCCAAUAAGGUAAGUUUCUUCAUCCUUGCAACCUCCUGAGUUGAAUGGUACCAUUUUUGGAACUUAGAACCUUCGAAAUCACGUGAAAUCCGAACCCCAGUUUGAUGUCAUUGUUCAUGCACACGUGAAUUGUUGACUUUCAGGGAAUUCUAAGCUUACAGGGAGCUUAGUGAGGUCCCAAGGAAGCUUAGAGUGUUUAGUUUGAAGGUUUUGGACGUCGGGAUCGUCGGGUUUGAAGUUGGCCGGUUUUCUUGGAAUUUCUUUGAUGAGAUUUCGUAUGUUUUUUAACCUUAAACUAGUACAACGUGAUUCUUCAUGCUUAUGGCUUCAUUUUGAUAUAAAAUGCGUGAAAAAUGGUUGAGAAAUGACGGAGAACAAGGAGAUUGAAAAAUCUCCAGUUUUCUGGCGAUUGGAGGAAGAAGGUGACGCGCGUGGGGGCGCGUGGGUCCGUGCCCCUCCCGGCGCGUGCGGCCUCGAAAAUUUUUCAAAAAAUACCUCGACGUCCGUGACGUCGAGUAGGUCACUGUAGUAUAUUCAUAUACCCAAAUUAAGCAUCAUAUGAGAAGUUAUUUCAAAUUGUCGGUUAUGUGCUUUAAUUAACGUUUUUAUAGUUGUUUCGCAUAUAGGUGAUACCUAUCCCGAGGACGAGCGCAUUCAACGACGUCACGAGGGUUACGACCCUUUGACUUACCAGUAAGUGGGCAGUAUUUUCUGUAUUACGUAUAUAUUAUUGAUUUUUCCUAGAAAUUGAAUUUAAAUGAAAGUGUGUUUUGAAAUGCCAUGCAUGCAUAUUAUGAAUUAUAUGAAUUGAUAAUUGAUGCAUAUAUAUGUGAAAUGGUGUUGUGGACGCACAUGUGAGUAUCAGGUGAGUUUUAUGUUAUUCAUGUGAACUAUUAAUGAUGUGAAUUGUGUUGAAAGCUCAUAACCUACACCCCUGGUGUUAGUGCUUAUAUUAUUCACCCUGCACCGCACGUUCACCUUGGAUCCAAGUAGGUGCAUGUCGUACAGACCAUUAGAGGGUUCCGACAUGUCGUACAGACCAUGACAGGUGGUUCCGACUUGUAGGUGAUUUUAGAUUAUUAUACAGCUGUUGAUGAGAGAAGCAUUAAAGCGUAUUCUUACACAUUUCUUAUCGUACAGACUACUUUAGGUAGUUCCAAUUUAUGUGCAGAGUAGCGCCGUGCAGGUCACUGCGGGGAUUCCGGUUAGAGUGGAUAUUGAGCUUUAGAGUUAACCGUACAUGACCAACUGCAAGGUCUCCGGUUGAUUCAUUAUUUCACCUGUUAUAUUGAUGCAUCCUUAUUCUGUUAUUGACAUUUAUAGCAUGGCAUACUUUCUGGUUUUUGAUAAAGAUUGGUGAUUUGAGAUAUAUGAAGAUUUAUAUGUAUAUUAUGUUAUUUUCUGGGAAAGUAUACAUGUUUUAUAGCGAGGGGUUAGAAAUGUUAUUAAUUAAAAUGUUUUCAAAAAUCUUUAUUUUACUGACCCACUCAAUUUUGUUUUGCGCCCAUCCAGGUUCUAGUUAGCAGCGUUGGUGGCCCACGAGGAUUCCCACAGCGUACUGACAGACUACAUAAAUGUAUGACUCACAUUCGGGUGUUGUAAUUUAGUUAUGGUCCUACUUAACUGCUGUAGAUAUCGAAAUUUUGGUAAAUAAAUGUUGACCGAUAAAUCAAAAUUUCAACAUUCACGUGUCACAUAAAUUUUACAUGUAGAGUGUGACUCAACGAAAAAAUCGAAAAAAGUCGAAAAAGUCAUCAAACAGGACACGUGUCAACACCUGGCAGAAACGAUUUAUUUCAUCUGCAUAUUAUAUUCAAAAUUAGGCCUUGGAAAAUUCUAUAAAUAGAAGCCAUUUCAUUCAUUUUUGGAAAAAUGGAUAACCAAUUCAUAACCCAUUCACCUCACACCAAAACCUUGAAGCUUUGAAACUCCAAAGCUCCCAAGCAAAUCCCGAAGGAUCAAGAAAGCUCUCUUCGUUCUUCGUCAACCCAACCUUCAAGAUCAAGCCCCAACGGCCCUUUGAAGGAACUUCCAUCAAUUCAAGAUCAAACCCCGACGGCCCUUGAAGAAAGCGUUCAUCGUUCAUCAUCCGUUCAUCCUAAGAUCAAGCCCCAACGACCCUUUGGAUCAACAACAUCAACAAAUCCACACAUCCAACCGUUCUUCAAGAUAAAGUCCAAAAGCCUUUGAAGAUCCAUUCAACAACUGUUCAUCAAGAUCAAGCCCCAAAGGCCCUUGAAGAUCCGUUCAUCAACAGUUCUUCAAGAUCAAGCCCAAAAGCCCUUGAAGAUCUAUCUAUCAACUGUUCAUCAAGAUCAAGCCUCAAAAGCCCUUAAAGAUCCGUUCAUCACCGUCAUUUAAGAUCAAACAUCAACGGCCCUUGAAGAAACUUUCAACCGUUCAUCCAACAAGCCUCAACGGCCCUUAGAGAAACUUUCAACCGUUCAUCCAAGAUCAAGCCUCAAGGGCCCUUAGAUCAAUCGCACAUCCACAAAUACACACCUUACGGAGAUCGAAUCAGAUGAUCAAAUUUGAGAGAGAUUGUAACCCAAAAUCAUCAAAUACAAAAUAUUAUUUUGUACACGUGUUCUUGUCUCGUUUGUUUCAGGAAAAUUUCGUGUUUACAACUGCACCUAGUACUUAUGCUCUGAAUAUGUGUGUUUCACACUUAAAUUCACUUUAGCAUGCCAGUUAGAUAUUAUUGCUAGUAUUUGGUUUUUAUUUCUUCGUAAUUCUCUUACCUAUUGCUUCCGCGUCGCACUUUCGGUUACGUCACAUUCACGUGACGGCCAGCAUGCCUUGAUUCUAGGAUCGGGGUGUGUCAGUUUGGUAUCAGAGCCUAGGUUUGCAGUCAUGUAUAAAUUGUUAAUGCUCUAAUGAUCUUUUGAAUUCUUCUGUCAGAACUAUGCCGCCUCAUAGGGAAUCACGUCGUGCUUCUGAGCCUAAUUUCCCUAAUAUAACUCAAUUAGGGGAAGCGAUGGCCCAUGCUUUUCAGAAUGCAAUCCGUCCUCCUCCUCUUUAGAGAACACCCCUGAAGACUAUGUAUAAUCUAAAAUUGGAUCGUUUCAUGGGUAAUGAGGGUCAUGAAGGGGCAGAAAAUUGGUUAGACCAUAUUGAGAAGACUUUUUAGGUGAUGCAGAGUCGAGGGAAUCUUCCUGCUAAUAGAUGGGUUGAGACCACUACUUGGUUUUUAGGAUGAGAGCCAGCAGCUUGGUGGGUAAAUCAGACUCAGUUUAUGUCACCUGAAAUGGCAGCUGAUUGAGAAGUAUUCAAAGAGAAUUUUAAGAAAAUAUUUGUUCCUCCGGAGUACAUUGAUCGUAAGAAGCAGGAGUUCACUCAAUUGAAGCAAAAGAAUAUGUCGGCGCAUGAGUAUUACAGGAAAUUUACAGACUUAUCUCGUUAUGAUCCUGAUACAGCUGGUAAUCAGGCAGAGAUGCUUCGCCGUUUUAAGUUGGGAACUAAGAGGAAAUGGCAGACUUUUGCUAGUACGCUUCCUUGCACCACUUAUCAUGAGUUUUCUGAGAUUUUGGUUCGGAUGGAGGAUUCCGACAACCUUCCUAGUAAUAGUGAGGAUGAUGAAGAUAAGAAUGAUAAUCAGAAGAAAUAUGAUAGGGGUAAAGGUAUUUCCACUCAAGGACCCCGUAAGACACAGAAUUUCAAGAAAAGUGGAGCGAGCUCGAGUUCUUCCAGCGGAGGAUUUAGUGUCACAGGCCCGAUGAGAGGUGGAAGAUUUGCUGGUAGACCCAGGUUUCAGAGACAGAGAGGCUUUGGUGGUGCUGGUGGUUCUGGUGCUCCGUUGUGCCGCCGUUGUAAUUUCAGACAUCAUGGGGAGUGUAGGAGAAGUGGUGGUGCUUGCUACACUUGUGGACAGUUGGGACAUAGGGCUGCUCAGUGUUCCCAGAGUCAGUAGAGAUCUCAGCAGUCUGCUAUGCCACUUCCAGCGUUGAUUCAGCAGAACUUUGGAUCAGGCAGUUAUGGUUAGACGGGUUGUGGUGGUGCUUACCACUAUCAGGGUGAUGCUGCUCCUUAUGCUUCAGGACAUAAUCAGUAUUUCCAGGAUCCUUAUCUUCAGACUGGGUAUUCCCAAGAUCCUGGAGGCUAUAUUUCAUAUCCUUCCAUACCAGCUAGCGGAUCUCAGUGGUAUCAGGGAGGUCAGCCCCGACAGGGAGAGGUUGCUGCUAGCGGUGCAGGACCAUCUAGGCAGUCUAAUUAGCCAGGACAGGGACGUACUUCUCAGGGGUGAGGUAACCAAGGUAACAGAGGUCGUGGUGGACGACAGCAAGCUCAGGGACAUGUUAAUCACAUAUCACUGCAAGAUGCUCAUAACCAUCCAGAUUUGAUUAUGGGUACGUUAAAUGUUCUUGGUCAUUUUGCUAGAGUUUUGAUUGAUUGUGGUGCCACACAUUCUGUGAUUUCUCAUACGUUUGCUCAAAUGACUCAAUCUCACCCUACACCUCUAGGAUUUGAUUUAGAGUUUGCUAUGCCUAGAGGGGACAAAUGUUAUGUUGAUAGUGUUUAUCCAGGGUGUCCAGUGAUGGUAGAUGGUGUAGUUAUGCCAGCUAAUCUUAUCCCGUUAGAUAUUGUGGAUUUUGAUGUGAUUUUAAGGGCGGAUUGGUUGCAUUUUAAUCGUGCCCAUAUAGAUUGUUACGGGAAAUCAGUUACUUUUCAUCGUCUUGGACUACCAGCGGUUACUUUUAUGGGUGAAAAAAGUGGGGCGAGACAUGGUGUUAUUUCUGCCAUGAGAGCAAGGAAGUUGUUAUCGAAAGGUUGUCAAGGAUACUUAGCACAUGUGGUGUUAAAUGAUGUUGUUCCUAGCAGUGUGGAGGAAGUUAGGGUAGUCAGGCACUAUCCUGAUGUAUUCCCAGAUGAUUUGCCUGGAUUACCGCCAGAUAGAGAUGUGAAGUUUUCUAUUGAUUUGCUUCCAGGUACGUAUUCUAUAUCUUUGACUCUAUAUAGAAUGGCUCCAGCUGAAUUGAGAGAGUUGAAAAUUCAGUUACAGGAAUUAACUGAUAAAGGUUUCAUUCAACCUAGUACUUCACCUUGGGGAGCGUCGGUGCUAUUUGUAAGAAAGAAAGAUGGAACUUUGAGAUUAUGUAUUGAUUACAGGCAAUUGAAUCGGGUAACGAUUAAAAACCGCUAUCUAUUACCUCAUAUCGAUGAUUUAUUUGAUCAACUCAAAGGUGCGUGUGUGUUCUCUAAGAUUGAUUUGAGAUUUGGCUAUUAUUAGUUGAAAAUUAAAGAUGAAGAUGUACUUAAAAUGACUUUCAGGACCCGUUACGGACAUUAUGAGUUUUUGGUGAUGCCAUUUGGAUUGACUAAUGCACCUGCAGCUUUCAUGAGGCUAAUGAAUGAAGUAUUCCAGCAAUAUCUUGAUAUGUUUGUCAUUGUUUUUAUCGAUGAUAUUCUGGUAUACUCUAAGUCUAAAGCAGAUCAUAUUAGACAUCUUAACUUGGUAUUAAAGAAAUUGAGGGAGCAUCAGUUGUAUGCCAAGUUUAGCAAAUGUCAGUUUUGGUUGAAUCAGGUGGCAUUUUUGGGACAUGUAGUAUCGGCACAAGGAAUUCAAGUAGAUCCUCAAAAGAUUGCAGCAGUGGAGAAUUGGGAACAACCACGAACCGUCACAGAAGUACGGAGUUUUCUUGGUCUAGCAGGUUAUUAUUGACGGUUUGUUCAAGAUUUUUCUAUGAUUGCUUUGCCACUAACGAAAUUAACCAGGAAGGAUGUUAAGUUCGAGUGGGACGAAAAUUGUGAGCAAAGUUUCCAGCAGCUAAAAUAUUGCCUCACUCAUGUCCAGUAUCGGUACUUCCUGAUGAUAGCGGUAACUUUGAGAUUUACAGUGAUGCUUCUUUGAAUGGUUUGGGAUGUGUUUUGAUGCAGCAUAAUAGAGUGAUCGCCUAUGCUUCUCGACAAUUGAAAAUUCAUGAAAGGAAUUAUCCUACCCACGAUCUUGAGUUGGCAGCCAUUGUCUUUGCUUUGAAGAUUUGGAGACAUUAUCUUUACGGUGAGAAGUGUAAGAUCUUCACAUGUCAUAAGAGUCUUCAGUAUCUUUUUACUCAGCAUGAUCUUAAUCUUCGUCAGCGAAGGUGGAUGGAGUUACUAAGUGAUUAUGACUGCACUAUUGAGUAUCAUCCGGAUCGUGCAAAUGUGGUAGCUGAUGCACUGAGUAGGAAACCUCAAGGUCGACUCAAUGCUUUGUAUGCUUGCCGUGUUCCUCUUCUUGCAGAUUUGAGAGCUACUGGAGUAAAGUUGGAGUUAGAAGAACGAAGAUAAGCUUUUCUUGCUAGUUUUCAAGUCAGGCCAGUUUUAGUCGAUCGUGUACUUGAAGCUCAGAUGGUUGAUGAAGAGAUUCAAGAAAUGAUUCAAUUGAGAAAUGAAGGGAAAAAGAAAGACCUCAGGAUUCGAGAAUCAGAUGGCAUGCUUAUGCAGGAGAACAUUAUGUAUAUGUCGAAUAAUGAGGAAUUAAAGAAGGAAAUUUUGAAUGAAGCACAUUGUUCAGCUUAUGCGAUGCAUCCAGGAGGGACUAAGAUGUAUCAUACCAUUUGACCAUUUUAUUAUUAGCCGGGUAUGAAAAGGGAAAUUGCAGAAUAUGUAAGUAGGUGUAUUGUUUGCCAACAAGUCAAAGCAGAAAGAAAGAAGCCUUUUGGGCGGAUGCAACCACUCCCAGUUCCUUAGUGGAAAUGGGAAAAUAUAACUAUGGAUUUUGUAUAUAAGCUUCCACGUACACAGAAUGGAUUUGAUGGCGUUUGGGUGAUUGUAGAUCGACUUACCAAGUCAGCACACUUCAUUCCAGUGAGGGAAAAGUAUCCCCUGAAUAAAUUGGCUAAGUUGUUCAUCACGAAGAUUGUGAAGUAUCAUGAGGUUCCAGUGAAUAUUAUUUCUGAUCGAGAUCCAAGAUUUACUUCUAAGUUUUGGGUAGCUUUUCAGGAAGCUCUAGGUACGAAACUACUUUACAGCAUUGCUUAUCAUCCUCAAACCAAUGGACAAUCAGAGAGGACUAUUCAGACAUUAGAGGAUAUGUUGAGAUCUUCAAUGUUACAGUUUGGUGAUUCUUGGCAUGAUCGCCUAAACUUGAUGGAAUUUGCCUACAAUAAUAGUUUUCAUUCGAGCAUUGGUAUGUCACCAUUUGAGGCACUUUAUGGUAGAGCUUGUCAUACGCCAUUGUGUUGGUCAGAGUUGGCGAAAGAGUGCUAGAGGGCCCAAAAAUUGUGGAUGAGACUACUCAAAAUGUUCAGGUGAUUAAGUCUAACUUGAAAGCGGCCCAAGAUCGACAAAAGAGUUUAGCAAAUAGACAUGCUACUGAUCGAGUAUAUGACGUGGGUAAUUUGGUAUUCUUGAAAUUGUCACCUUGGAGAGGUGUAGUGAGGUUUGGAAAGAAAGGCAAGCUAAGUCCUAGGUAUAUAAGACCUUAUGAGAUCACUGAAAGGAUUGGUGAAGUUGCUUACAGAUUGGAGUUGCCUCCGGAGUUAUCUAAGGUACAUAAUGUGUUUCAUGUCUCGAUGCUUUGACAUUAUGUUUCAGAUCCCUCACAUGUGAUUCCUCCUCAACCUUUGGAGAUUAAUCUGGAUUUGACAUAUGAUGAGGAACCAGUGACUAUCUUGGAUUGGAAAUACAAGGUUCUAAGGAAUAAGACAGUGAGCUUGGUAAAAGUAUUGUGGAGGAACCACUCGGUAGAAGAAACUACUUGAGAGACAGAAGAUCGAAUGAGAGAGAUGUAUCCAAGGUUAUUUUAUGAGUAUUAGUGGAUUGAGCGUUGUAUGAAUUUCGAGGAUGAAAUUCUAUAAGGAGGGGAGAUUGUCACAACCCGUCCCAAAAAAUUCAGUUAUCGUGGGUGUGAAAUGACAGAAUUGCCCUUAGCGGUUGCUAAGGUAUGUGUGACAUAUUAUUUGAAUAGUGCAUACUUUUCUAAGUUUUGGAAAUUUAAUUGGAUUAAAAUUGUAUGCAUUAUGUAGUUAGGGACUUAGGUGGACCAUAUACCCUCACCAUUAGACUCAUCUCUCUCUCCUAUCCCGUGCUCUCUCUCUUCCCUCUCAGUUUCUCUCUCUCUCUCUCGAAUUGUACGGACAAGAACCCAAAAUCCCUCAAAACAUCACGGAUCGACGCCAGUAAGGUGAGUUUCUUCAUCCUUGCAACCUCCUGAGUUGAAUGGUACCAUUUUUAGAACUUAGAACCUUCGAAAUCACAUGAAAUCCGAACCCCAGUUUGAUGUCACUGUUCAUGCACACGUGAAUUGUUGACUUUCAGGGAAUUCUAAGCUUACAUGGAGCUUAGUGAGGUCCCAAGGAAGCUCAGAGUGUUUGGUUUGAAGGUUUUGGAUGUCGGGAUGGCCGAGUUCGAAGUUGGCCGGUUUUCUUGGAAUUUCUCCGGUGAGAUUUCGUAUGUUUUUGAACCUUAAACUAGUACAACGUGAUUCUUCAUGCUUAGGGCUUCAUUUUGAUAUAAAAUGCGUGAAAAAUGGUUGAGAAAUGACGGAGAACAAGGAGAUUGAAAAAUCUCCAGUUUUCCGGCGACUGGAGGAAGAAGGUGACGCGCGUG